CUCGGCAACGGAUAUCUCGGCUCUCGCAUCGAUGAAGAACGUAGCGAAAUGCGAUACUUGGUGUGAAUUGCAGAAUCCCGUGAACCAUCGAGUCUUUGAACGCAAGUUGCGCCCGAAGCCGUCAGGCCGAGGGCACGUCUGCCUGGGCGUCACGC
rnacentral:rRNA from 4 species